GGGAGAUUGAGAUUUGAGAUAGGUACCUCUGUAUUGGAGUCGCUGUGAUAUUAAGCCAUGGUACAGAACAUGCUUCCGGGAUUUUCAGUAUCUCUCCCUUUUACAGAUGUUCUUCCUUUUUUUGUAUCAGUUGCCUGAGAUUCUUAGUGUGAUUGAGCAUGAAAAAUAAGUACUGUACGUCAAUUUUUGUAUAAAAUUGUGCUCUACUUAUGAUUUUGGGGACUGGAGAUAGUUGUCAUGCUCUUCUUACUUUGAUGUGGCAGUCUAGAAUAUUAACUAUCGGUAAGAUUCUUAUACAGACCGUUGAACAGUCUGGAUGAACUGAUUUAGAAAAACAAUGAUAGAGCAUGGUUACAGCCCCUUGAAGACUUUUAAGUGGACAAGUAUCGAUGCAUUUUUCUUUUCUCCGAGAAGCAUCUACUCAAAGAGUGUGUAGUCGAUGAAUCCAAAGGAUGUCGGGUUGAAGCUGAAAGGUGAUUUGGAAUGGUGUUGUCUUAAAUCCACAUGGAUGAAAACACUGCUCCCUUGGGAGGCCCCAACACCAUUUGGUAUAGACUCACCUUUCCUUCUAGAUAUGGUAGCUUGGGAUUUCAAAGAUAAAGAGCCGACUAAUCAGUCUGUUAUGAGGAGAUCUGGUCAACUCAAUCAAUCUCCAGCUCCCUAACAAACAAGUCAAUUGACUUUUGUUUGAUCAACUGA